UUUCCCUUCAAAACUGCAAGGGUAGCUUUCCUGAAGAAAGCAAAAACUUCUUUAGCUUCCAAAACGGUAUUUAGUACAAACAGUGAAGCAAAUAUAGACAAAUCUGAUCAUUCAUCAUCAACAAUAACUGCAUCUGAGAUUAAUAGUUCUACAGUAACCAUGGGGUGUAGGUCAACAAUUACUAUUUCUCAUCCAAGCCAUUUUUGUUUAACUGCUACACAUUCCCUGACUCUGCCAAGGAAAAGGUACAUUAUUCUAGGGUAAAAUCACAAUGAUAUCCUGGGGACUUAAGCACUGAUGAUUUCACCAUUUCAAAAGCUAAAGUUAGUCGCCAAAUUAUGGAAAAAGCAAUAAAGGACAAAAAAAUUAAAAUUCGAAGAUUGAAAGAAACAUAUUUGUGCCAAAGAAAUCGAAUUAGAUGUCUCAAGUCAUUAUUAAAAUACUUUUUAAAAAAGAUUUUC